rnacentral:rRNA from 1 species
GACGAACGCUGGCGGCGUGCCUAAUACAUGCAAGUAGGACGCAGUUGCGAACGGGAGAGUAACGCGUAGGUAACUACCUAUUAGAGGGGGCUAACUAUUGGAAACGAUAGCUAAUAACGCAUACUAGUAGAUGGACCUGCGUUGUAUUAGCUAGUAGGUAGGGUAAUGGCCUACCUAGGCAACGAAACAUAACCGACCGUGGAGGGUGAUCGGCCCACCUUGGAAUGAGAAACGGCCCAGACACCUCCGGGAGGCAGCCGUGGGGGAUCUUCGGCAAGGGGGCGAACCCUGACCGCGCAACGCCGCGUGAGAGAAGAAGGUUUUCGGAUCGUAAAGCUCUGUUGUGCAGGAAGCGGUACUUAACCAAGAAGGAACGGCUAACUACGUGCCAGCAGCCGCGGUAAUUC